GACGAACGCUGGCGGCGUGCUUAACACAUGCAAGUCGAACGGAAAGGCCCUGCUCUUGUGGGGUGCUCGUGUGGCGAACGGGUGAGUAACACGUGAGUAACCUGCCCUUGUCUUUGGGAUAACUUCAGGAAACUGGGGCUAAUACCGGAUAGGAGCUCCUGCUGCAUGGUGGGGGUUGGAAAGUUUCGGCGGUUGGGGAUGGACUCGCGGCUUAUCAGCUUGUUGGUGGGGUAGUGGCUUACCAAGGCUUUGACGGAUAGCCGGCCUGAGAGGGGGACCGGCGACAUGGGGACUGAGAGACGGCCCAGACGGCUACGGGAGGCAGCAGGGGGGAAUAUUGCACAACGGGCGGGAGUCUGAUGCAGCAACGCCGCGUGCGGGAUGACGUCCUUCGGGUUGUAAACCGCUGUCGCCUGUGACGAAGCGGGAGUGACGGUAACGGGUAAAGAAGCACCGGCUAACUACGUG
rnacentral:rRNA from 1 species